rnacentral:rRNA from 1 species
UACGUAGGGUGCAAGCGUUGUCCGGAAUUAUUGGGCGUAAAGAGCUCGUAGGCGGUUUGUCGCGUCUGCUGUGAAAACGCGAGGCUCAACCUCGCGCCUGCAGUGGGUACGGGCAGACUAGAGUGUGGUAGGGGAGAUUGGAAUUCCUGGUGUAGCGGUGGAAUGCGCAGAUAUCAGGAGGAACACCGAUGGCGAAGGCAGAUCUCUGGGCCAUUACUGACGCUGAGGAGCGAAAGCCAGGGGAGCAAACGGGAU